GACGAACGCUGGCGGCGUGCUUAACACAUGCAAGUCGAACGGAAAGGCCCUGCUUUUGUGGGGUGCUCGAGUGGCGAACGGGUGAGUAACACGUGAGUAACCUGCCCUUGACUUUGGGAUAACUUCAGGAAACUGGGGCUAAUACCGGAUAGGAGCUCCUGCUGCAUGGUGGGGGUUGGAAAGUUUCGGCGGUUGGGGAUGGACUCGCGGCUUAUCAGCUUGUUGGUGGGGUAGUGGCUUACCAAGGCUUUGACGGGUAGCCGGCCUGCGAGGGUGACCGGCCACAUUGGGACUGAGAUACGGCCCAGACUCCUACGGGAGGCAGCAGUGGAGAAUAUUGCACAAUGGGCGGAAGCCUGAUGCAGCAACGCCGCGUGCGGGAUGACGGCCUUCGGGUUGUAAACCGCUUUCGCCUGUGACGAAGCGUGAGUGACGGUAAUGGGUAAAGAAGCACCGGCUAACUACGUG
rnacentral:rRNA from 1 species